CCUACGGGUGGCAGCAGUGAGGAAUAUUGGUCAAUGGGCGUAAGCCUGAACCAGCCAAGUCGCGUGAGGGAUGAAGGUUCUAUGGAUCGUAAACCUCUUUUAUAAGGGAAUAAAGUGUGGGACGCGUCCCAUUUUGUAAGUACCUGAUGAAUAAGGAUCGGCUAACUCCGUACCAGCAGCCGCGGUAAUACGGAGGAUCCGAGCGUUAUCCGGAUUUAUUGGGUUUAAAGGGUGCGUAGGCGGCCUUUUAAGUCAGCGGUGAAAGUCUGUGGCUCAACCAUAGCAUUGCCGUUGAAACUGGGGGGCUUGAGUGUGUUUGAGGCAGGCGGAAUGCGUGGUGUAGCGGUGAAAUGCAUAGAUAUCACGCAGAACCCCGAUUGCGAAGGCAGCCUGCCAGGCCAUGACUGACGCUGAUGCACGAAAGCGUGGGGAUCGAACAGGAUUAGAUACCCGAGUAGUC
rnacentral:rRNA from 1 species